CAUUGACAUAAAAACACAAGCUCACUCACUAGCAGGCACACGCAUGCAAGCAAGCUCAUUCACUAGCAGAUGCACACACACAGCUUAAUGUGGUGGUACUGGUGUCUAUAGCAUGUCCCUACAGGCUUUUCAACGUAAACACUGACUUUUCAGACAAAAGGCAGUGUUUACAUUGCUUCAAAGUGACACUGCUAGAGACAGUCACUCAGACGGUCACUAGAGGUGCUUCCUGUGUUAGUGCACCUACAUUCAGGGCCUCCACACUCUGUAGGUGCUGAACGUUCCCCAUAGAGA